GCUCAGGAUGAACGCUGGCGGCGUGCUUAACACAUGCAAGUCGAACGAUGAUGCCCACUUGUGGGUGGAUUAGUGGCGAACGGGUGAGUAACACGUGAGUAACCUGCCCUUAACUCUGGGAUAAGCCUGGGAAACUGGGUCUAAUACCGGAUAUGACUCCUCAUCGCAUGGUGGGGGGUGGAAAGCUUUAUUGUGGUUUUGGAUGGACUCGCGGCCUAUCAGCUUGUUGGUGAGGUAAUGGCUUACCAAGGCGACGACGGGUAGCCGGCCUGAGAGGGUGACCGGCCACACUGGGACUGAGACACGGCCCAGACUCCUACGGGAGGCAGCAGUGGGGAAUAUUGCACAAUGGGCGCAAGCCUGAUGCAGCGACGCCGCGUGAGGGAUGACGGCCUUCGGGUUGUAAACCUCUUCAG
rnacentral:rRNA from 1 species